GGUAGAUAACUGUCAAAAUUAUUUACAAAUAAGAUUUAGCGGAGGAUGAAAAUUAUUACUGCCAAUUAGUUGGAAAGUUUUAUCAAUAAUUGUUUCCUUAUUGAAUUUUCGCCAACUGAAAAUGAAACUUCACUGGAAAAU